UACAACGUCGUGUAUUCAAUUUGGCUUGUGUUCUAUUUGGAGGAGAAAAUGCGAUUCAUUUGAACAUAAGCAGAAUACGUAGGAAACGUCUGCGUUAUAUACAAUUGAAAAAUAUGGAGUUUGAGUCUUACGAUUUUAAAUGAUUGUAUUCGUUAUUUUCAUUAUUUAAGUGACCAGUAUCGUUAUUAAAAUAGAUUUAGGGCGAGUUUAUGAAAAAACGUGCACCUGAUUAUUACCCGAGCUGUCAAGUUCCCAUUUAACAACUCUGAAAAUGAACACAGAAACUUCUCGCCUUUGCCUCCAGACGAGCUCUAUGAAAAGAGGAAGAUUGCUGUUCUAGAGAUUGAAAUACUGGUGAGGGAGUUCAGAACAACUCUACCCAGAUCAGACAUGUUAUCCAGAUCCUGGCCACAGAUUUUGCCCUGUCCCAGCACCCUCACAGCCGCAAAGGAGACCUCAUCAGCCUGGCAGCAUGCUCCAUCGCUCUGGGCAUCAAGAUUACAUACACAUUAGAGCACAUUACACUGGGUUGUUUGUAAUCAUUGAGUCUACUGGAAGUAAACGUUUUUAGAAGACUGUCUUUUAAAAGACUCACCUUUUGAAAUUAUAAGUUGUGCUUGCAUCCUUGUGUGUGUUCAUGUAUAUGUGUCUUACAGGACUCUGGGCUGUACCUGAAGGAGUUUAUUGAUCCUGUACUCACCUGCUUUAAUGACUCAAGACAGCAGACUGCGGUACUAUGCCUGUGAGGUGCUCUACAACAUAGUGAAAGUGGCCAUUCAAAUGCAUUAUCAUUGCAUUAAAAUGCAAAUCAAUUUCUAACAUUUUUGACAUGCGUUUUCCUGGAUUUUUUUGUUGUUAUUCUGUCUCUCACCGUUCAAAUAAACCUACCAUUAAAAUUAUA